rnacentral:rRNA from 1 species
UGGGGAAUAUUGCACAAUGGGCGCAAGCCUGAUGCAGCCAUGCCGCGUGUAUGAAGAAGGCCUUCGGGUUGUAAAGUACUUUCAGCGGGGAGGAAGGGAGUAAAGUUAAUACCUUUGCUCAUUGACGUUACCCGCAGAAGAAGCACCGGCUAACUCCGUGCCAGCAGCCGCGGUAAUACGGAGGGUGCAAGCGUUAAUCGGAAUUACUGGGCGUAAAGCGCACGCAGGCGGUUUGUUAAGUCAGAUGUGAAAUCCCCGGGCUCAACCUGGGAACUGCAUCUGAUACUGGCAAGCUUGAGUCUCGUAGAGGGGGGUAGAAUUCAAGGUGUAGCGAUGAAAUGCGUAGAGAUCUGGAGGAAUACCGGUAGAGAAGGCGGCCCCCUGGGCGAAGACUGGCGCUCAGGUGCGAAAGCGUGGGGAGCAAACAGG